rnacentral:lncRNA from 1 species
CCCCGCACCUGUCGGUCCCCCACCUCCCGGACCCCCGCGUGGCCCCGCGUCCUCACCUGUCGGUCCCCCAUCUCCCACCUCUGGGACCCCCGCGUGCCCCCGCGCCCUCACCUGUCGGUCCCCCAUCUCCCACCUCCCGGACCCCCCGCGUGCCCCCGCGUCCUCACCUGUCGGUCCCCAUCUCUGGGACCCCCGCGUGCCCCCGCGUCCUCACCUGUCGGUCCCCCAUCUCCCAUCUCUGGGACCCCCGCGUGCCCCCGCGCCCUCACCUGUCGGUCCCCCAUCUCCCACCUCCGGGACCCCCGCGUGCCCCCGCGUCCUCACCUGUCGGUCCCCCAUCUCCCACCUCCGGGACCCCCGCGUGCCCCCGCACCCGCACCUGUCGGUCCCCCAUCUCCGGACCCCCGCGUCCUCACCUGUCGGUCCCCCAUCUCCCACCUCCCGGACCCCCGCGUGCCCCCGCGCCCUCACCUGUCGGUCCCCCACCUCCCACCUCCGGGACCCCCGCGCCCGGUCCCCCCGCGGCCGCCCCUCCCGAGCUCACCGUGCGCCCCGCGCUGCCCGCGCUCCCCGCGCCCCCCCGGCCCGGCGGGCUGCAGCCGCAGUGAGCUCACAGCCGCAUCGCGGCGACACGGGGAGGCGCGCGGCCGGUCGUCGCCGGCGCCGGGUCCAGGCCGAGGGCGGCUGCCCCUCCGCUCGGCAUUGAGGAGGCGGGAGGAGGGGCGCGGCGAGGCGCACGGGAAAUCUGAUAGAGCAAUGAAAGUCCCUGAAAAAUGGAUGACACUCUGGUCCGUGAAGCCCAGAGUUUGUUUGGCCCAGGACAUUCGAGAAGUGUUGGAAACUGGCAUGCCGUGUGGUGCAGCGGGCCACAGGGAUGACGGGACUCUAGCAAAGAGGCUCAGACAGCCUACCUCUAACACCGGAUCCAGAAUCAUCUUCACACGGAAAGGAGGGACUGCAUCUCUCUCUCCCCAGAACCAGGAGUACAUCCUUUUUGCAGCACUCCCCGACCUCUCUUGCCCUGAUGCAGCCAGGGAAGGAUGGCCUUCUCACAUGCCUCCUCCGAGAAAAAGUUCUCCAGAACCAGCAAGGCCAGGACCCUGGUGUCCAGUCCAUAUAGGACCUGCCCCAAGAGCUCUUGAAAACACUGGAGACAAGAUUGUUUUUUGUUUUUUGUUGUUGUUGUUGUUGUUGUUUGGGGGUUUUUUUUAUUGUUUUGUUUUUGUUUUUGUUUUUGACAAGAAUGUUUUUAACUGGGCCUCCUCUGCCAUCACCCGGAGCUCACACCUCAGGUUACCUGCCUCUGUUGGAUUCAAAUUGAUCCAAAUUAAAAUCCCUGCUACAAAUUCCUCCUGGCUUUGCCAUCUCAGUCAGUCAUUGCCCCAAACCUACGGGGCAUUAUGAAUAAACAUUGUAAAAAUGGAAAGUGGUGGUUGCAAACUAGAUUUCUUUAUUCAUUCCUUUGUUCAACACGGAUCUAUGGGGCGUUACUGUAUGUCAGGCACAGUGCUAGACACUAAAAUAGAAACAAAUGGUGCAUCCUGGUGCAUCCUUCAGGAAGAAAUGGUCCCAGCCCAUGGAGGGUUCACAGUGUAACAAGGGAAAGAAGCGUGUGGGUCACAAUUCUCAAGAGCACGAUGAGUGUCAGGAAGGAAGUAGCCUGAGGGAACACUCCCAACACCACCAAAUCCAGUUUCUAAACCAGGUUGUCUCACCUCCCGGCCAGCAAAGCAAACUGCAGGCAGAGGCAGCCAUUUGGGCAGUCGGUCAGGAAAUGUCAGCUCCCCUUCUCCAGAGGAGGUUCCAGAACCUUCCAUCCCAUUUUGUUUGCUGUCCACAUGCCCACACUUGCAUCCUCCUUUUGAAUCUUCUGGACAGCAAUGCCUUCCCGCCUCCUCUCGGACUCUUCUGUGCAGCUCCUGGCUCAGCUGUCGCAUGUACCCCCAUGUCUCCAGUUACCAGCCACUCUUGGCGUCAGGGUGCCCCACGCCCACCAGCUCAGGGCCCAGCUGAGCCAGCCAUGUACCCACUGUCUACCAGCCUCCAGGGUUUCAGAUGAGAACACCGGAGUCAUCCUGAUAUUUGUUCCCAGAUAUGCGAAGUUUCCUUUCUCUGUGGAUGCUUUCAAGGUUUCUUCUUUUUCUUUGGUUUUUAGCAAUUUGUUUUUCCCUGUUUGGAUAUGCUUUUCUUUAGUUUCAUCCUCUUGGGGGUUUGCUGAGUGUCUUGACUCUAUAUAGUCAUAUCUUACUAAAUUUGAGAAGUCUGGGGUCACUGUUUGUGUCUCUCUUCAAGUUCUCUCACUUUUUCCUGUGUCAUCUGUGAGCUCCAUUCCACUAUGGGGUCUGUCUAGCAAUGUUGCCAUUAUCAGAAAGUUGCAUUUUUCACCUCUAAAUUUUAUGUGUUACCUAUCUACUCUGCAUUUCUCUGCUGAGAAAUUCUAACUUUCCAUUUACUUCAAGAUUGUUUCACAGAGUCCGGUUGCAUGUGAUCAUUCCAACAUUUCAGUAAUCUUGGGGUUAGCAUCUCUUGACUGUGUAUUUCCCGUGAGGAUUGGUUGCAUUUUUCGGUUCUUUGUAUGUUCGGUUAACAUGCAUUAUAUUCCGGACAGUUUAAAUAUUGUGGGAUUCUGGGUUAUGUUAAAAUCUUCCAGGGUUAAUGUUUUUUCAUUAUUUUUUAAAGAUUCUAUUUUUUUUAUUUGACAGAGAGAGUGCACAAGCAGGGGGAGUGGUAGGCAGAGGGAGAGGGAGAAGCAGCCUCCCCUUUGAUCAGGGACCCCAAAGUGGGGCUCGAUCCCAGGACCCUGGGAUCAUGACCUGAGCCAAAGGCAGACACUUAACUGACUGAGCCACCCAGGUGCCCCUUCAUUAUUAUUAUCUUAGCAGUCAACCAACCUGGUUAAGUUUAGACCAUGAGUUUUGUUUUACCCUCUAUGGCCAUGCUUCAAUGUCUAUUCAGUUUUCAAAGUCAGAAUUAUCUCUACAUUCUCCAGCUCCUGAUGACCCCCCUUUCUUGU